rnacentral:rRNA from 1 species
UACAGAGGUCCCGAGCGUUGUUCGGAUUCAUUGGGCGUAAAGGGUGCGUAGGCGGCGGGGCAAGUCUGAUGUGAAAUCCCGGGGCUCAACCCCGGAACUGCAUUGGAUACUGCCUUGCUAGAGUGCGGUAGAGGAGAGUGGAAUUCCCGGUGUAGCAGUGAAAUGCGUAGAGAUCGGGAGGAACAUCAGUUGCGAGGGCGGCUCUCUGGACCAGCACUGACACUGAGGCACGAAAGCGUGGGGAGCAAACAGG